rnacentral:rRNA from 1 species
AAACCGUUCGGGGGUAAACGGACAGAGCCCGUGAAUCCGGGCGACGGAAUUCAGAAUCGACGGCGUUCGCGCGUCGUCGGUUCGAUAUUUCCGUCGCCGACCAUUUACACGGACGUCGCGACCCGUUCGGUGUCGGUCUGCAGGAGACGUGCGAAAGUUCGUGUGCGUUCGCCGGGGCUUCGGCCUCGGCGGGCGUUUCGCGAGUGCGCGUUCUUUUCUGGCCGACUCGCCGGACGGUAUGCGAAGCGGUGAUCGCGGCGGCCUCUCGUCAGCGCCGUCGCGUUACCGGUCUGCGACGAAUCUUCGGGCCUCUUUCCGA